CCUACGGGGUGCAGCAGUGAGGAAUAUUGGUCAAUGGACGAGAGUCUGAACCAGCCAAGUAGCGUGAAGGAUGACUGCCCUAUGGGUUGUAAACUUCUUUUAUAUGGGAAUAAAACGUUCCACGUGUGGGAUUUUGUAUGUACAAUAUGAAUAAGGAUCGGCUAACUCCGUGCCAGCAGCCGCGGUAAUACGGAGGAUCCGAGGGUUAUCCGGAUUUAUUGGGUUUAAAGGGAGCGUAGGUGGAUUGUUAAGUCAGUUGUGAAAGUUUGCGGCUCAACCGUAAAAUUGCAGUUGAAACUGGCAGUCUUGAGUACAGUAGAGGUGGGCGGAAUUCGUGGUGUAGCGGUGAAAUGCUUAGAUAUCACGAAGAACUCCGAUUGCGAAGGCAGUUCACUGGACUGCAACUGACACUGAGGCUCGAAAGUGUGGGUAUCAAACAGGAUUAGAUACCCUUGUAGUC
rnacentral:rRNA from 1 species